rnacentral:rRNA from 1 species
AGAGUUUGAUCAUGGCUCAGGAUAAACGCUGGCGGCGUGCCUAACACAUGCAAGUCGAACGAUCCCGCAAGGGAGAGUGGCGGAAGGGUGAGUAACACGUGGGAAUCUACCUCCUCGCAGGGAACAACCUCUCGAAAGAGAGGCUAAUACCCAAAAGGGUCAGAAAUGAUCAGAGUCGAAAGGCGUGAGGAGAGGAGCCCGCGGCCCAUCAGCUAGUUGGUGAGGUAAUGGCUUACCAAGGCUACGACGGGUAGGGGAUCUGAGAGGAUGUCCCCCACACUGGAACUGAAACACGGUCCAGACGCCUACGGGUGGCAGCAGUGAGGAAUACUGGACAAUGGGCGAAAGCCCGAUCCAGCAACGCCGCGUGGAGGAUGAAGGCCUUCGGGUCGUAAACUUCUUUAGAGGGAGACGAGAAAGGACGGUAUCCCUAGAAUAAGCGACGGCAAACUACGUG